rnacentral:lncRNA from 1 species
UUGACUUUUAAACAUAUUGUUUUUCUGCAGUGUGGUUUGUCAAACUAAUAACCUUCUUCAUAGCAUGGUGCAUAGCAUUGUGAUUUGGUGAUAUCUAUUAAAUUCUUUUCAUUUUCAAAAUUUCAAGUAGUUUGUGAACAUAUAAUUUCUUGAUUUCUUCAUUUGAUAAUAGAGAGAUCCUUUAUCCUUUUUGCAGCGAGAUAUACUUUCCUCUUUCCAGCUAGC